UAUUGUUCUUCAACGAGGAAUCCCUAGUAAGCACAAGUCAUCAGCUUGUGCUGAUUACGUCCCUGCCCUUUGUACACACCGCCCGUCGCUACUACCGAUUGAAUGGCUUAGUGAGACCCUCGGAUCGAUGCUCAUCGACUGUAAAAGGUCUUAGUUUAUUGAGAAGUUGGUCAAACUUGGUCAUCUAGAGGAAGUAAAAGUCGUAACAAGGUUUCCGUAGGUGAACCUGCGGAAGGAUCAUUA
rnacentral:rRNA from 1 species